GAGAGUAAAAGACAAUGAGGAACAGAGUAAACAGAGAGAUAAGUGAUGAAGAGUAUAUUAAGUUGAGAAUAAGAGAAUAUGAGUAUCAAGAGAUUAUAGAGAUUGACAGUAACCAAGAUAGAAGAGAAUGGUGAAGAAGAAAGGGAACUCCCCUCUUUCAGCUUAGAUUAUAAUUGAUUACAAUGAGGGCUAUUUAUACCCAACACACACACUAGAAAAAUGAGAGGAAAAAGACAAAGAGAGAUAGAUCUGGAUUCAAAAUGAAUGGUUGGGAUAGGAGGAUCUGAAUUAAUUUGACUUGAAUGGCUGAGAUGCAGGAGAGCUUCCAAUGUGAUAGUGACAGCUCCUAACAGUCAUCUUUCUUCUC
rnacentral:lncRNA from 1 species